GGCCACCUUAAAGACCUAAUCAGAAUAAAGUGCUGAGAUUAGGUCAAAAUGGCGUUGUUUAUACAUUGGUGAAUUUUUGAUUCUUAGAUUAAAUGUGACCCUCUCUGCAGCAUGUAGCUCAUAAAGUUACUACAAGUACAUGCUAUUAUCUGAUGUUCUUUAACCCCUUAAAGAACUGGAAAUUGUAUAGACUUUUUAUUUUUUAUUUUAAUUCUUUAUUUUUGCAGUGCAGGGUUAAGCGUACAUGUUUGCAUUGGUCAUAUAAAAGAUUGAUAGUAACAUUAGACUUAUAGAGUAAACAUAUGAUUACAAGGAUUACUGCACAGUUUUAUGUGUUUUUAAACGACAUAGUCAGUCAGCUUGUGUCAAAUGAAAAACCACACAGAUUACCUACUAAGCCCUCAUUUCUAACAACCUACUUCGUACC